UUCGUAGGCGGUGUGGCAAGUCGGGAGUGAAAUCUCUGGGCUUAACCCAGAGGCUGCUUCCGAAACUGCCGUGCUAGAGUGCGGGAGAGGCGAGUGGAAUUGCAGGUGUAGCGGUGAAAUGCGUAGAUAUCUGCAGGAACACCCGUGGCGAAGGCGGCUCGCUGGACCGCAACUGACGCUGAGGAACGAAAGCUAGGGGAGCAAACAGGAUUAGAUACCCUGGUAGUCCUAGCCCUAAACCAUCAGGACUUGGGGUGCAUCCCGUUCGGGGUGCGUCCCGUAGCUAACGCGUUAAGUCCUGCGCCUGGGGAGUACGGUCGCAAGGCUGAA
rnacentral:rRNA from 1 species